CAGUCGCCGCGGGAAUACGUAGGUGGCAAGCGUUAUCCGGAAUUAUUGGGCGUAAAGCGCGCGUAGGCGGUUUUUUAAGUCUGAUGUGAAAGCCCACGGCUCAACCGUGGAGGGUCAUUGGAAACUGGAAAACUUGAGUGCAGAAGAGGAAAGUGGAAUUCCAUGUGUAGCGGUGAAAUGCGCAGAGAUAUGGAGGAACACCAGUGGCGAAGGCGACUUUCUGGUCUGUAACUGACGCUGAUGUGCGAAAGCGUGGGGAUCAAACAGGAUUAGAUACCCCCGAGUCCCUGUCUCUUAUACA
rnacentral:rRNA from 1 species